ACUCUUUGUAGUGCCUGACAACUGAUUAUUUUCUUUUGCAACUUAAUUUUAUUUCAAUUUUUAGGAGUACUGUGAAAAGUCUCUGGUAUAACCACAUCCUUUUACAUAAUUAGUAACAACAGACAUUGAAUGUUCAAUGUUGAAUUAAUAAUUAUCUGCCCUGAAAGCUAUUGUUUCCUCUUAACAUUUACCAUAUUAAUCAGUUAUCUGCCCUGAAAGCUAUUGUUUCCUCUUAACAUUGACCAUAUUAAUCAGUUAUCUCCACUGAAAGCUAUUGUCUCCUCUUAACAUUGACCAUAUUAAUCAGUUAUCUCCCCUGAAAGCUAUUGUCUCCUCUUAACAUUUACCAUAUUAAUCAGUUAUCUCC
rnacentral:lncRNA from 1 species